UUUAAGUUUUAGUACUGAAACAUUGGAAAAUUUCGUGUUUCAGUGGAAAAGAAUAUCGGGACAGAACCCGAGGAGUCGAGUCAAGGCCAACAGGCGACUCGUUUGAGAUACAGAGACUAGAGGAGCAGCAGACUGAGCUGCUGAAGUGUGUGAAGUCAUCAGCUUGAAGCCUUCGGGUAUAAUUUAUACCCUAACUGUAAAUACUUCUUUUGAUGUAUAUAUUGCACAUAAAUGUAUGGACAUGUAAAAAUGGGUCUUGAGCAGCUUGUACACAAAUUUGUAUGAAGUUUGUAAUAAAGUUUAGUUUAUGUUUC